rnacentral:rRNA from 1 species
GACCUAUCAGCUUUCGACGGUAGUGUAUUGGACUACCGUGGCAGUGACGGGUAACGGGGAAUUAGGGUUCGAUUCCGGAGAGGGAGCCUGAGAAACGGCUACCACAUCUAAGGAAGGCAGCAGGCGCGCAAAUUACCCAAUCCUGACUCAGGGAGGUAGUGACAAGAAAUAACAACACUGGAAAUUUUAUUUCUAGUGAUUGGAAUGAUGGGAAUCUAAACCCCUUUCAGAGUAACAAUUGGAGGGCAAGUCUGGUGCCAGCAGCCGCGGUAAUUCCAGCCCCAAUAGCGUAUAUUAAAGUUGUUGCAGUUAAAAAGCUCGUAGUUGGAUAUCUGCUGGAAGCAAUCAGUCCGCCCUAUUUGUAGGGUGUGCACUUGAUGAAUUCUGGCAUCUAUGUCCCGAUAAUAUAACGUGGAGGUCGUCCUCCCGUUUAUUGGGAACAUACUGUUUCUUUGAGAAAAUUAGAGUGUUUGAAGCAGGCUAAUUGCCUUGAAUACUGCAGC